rnacentral:rRNA from 1 species
GAUGAACGCUGGCGGCGUGCCUAAUACAUGCAAGUCGAGCGAACGGACGAGAAGCUUGCUUCUCUGAUGUUAGCGGCGGACGGGUGAGUAACACGUGGAUAACCUACCUAUAACACUGGGAUAACUUCGGGAAACCGUAGCUAAUACCGGAUAAUAUUUUGAACCGCAUGGUUCAAAAGUGAAAGACGGUCUUGCUGUCACUUAUAGAUGGAUCCGCGCUGCAUUAGCUAGUUGGUAAGGUAACGGCUUACCAAGGCAACGAUGCAUAGCCGACCUGAGAGGGUGAUCGGCCACACUGGAACUGAGACACGGUCCAGACUCCUACGGGAGGCAGCAGUAGGGAAUCUUCCGCAAUGGGCGAAAGCCUGACGGAGCAACGCCGCGUGAGUGAUGAAGGUCUUCGGAUCGUAAAACUCUGUUAUUAGGGAAGAACAUAUGUGUAAGUAACUGUGCACAUCUUGACGGUACCUAAUCAGAAAGCCACGGCUAACUACGUG